UCGCCUCACCUGUUGGAAACGGCCUGCGGACUAAAACACUUUGUGGAAUAGAAACAAGUUAUUCUUCAGUUUUGCAGAGAUUCUACCUCCUCUGGGAUGAAUUAGAAAAACACUGAAUAACUUAAAGAGAGGUUGUCCUUUAGCAUCAUCGUGACGUCACGACAACUAAGGAUUGGUUAUCUUUGAUGACAGGCAGCUCUCCCGACCAACCCAGUAUGGUUUCGAGUCCUGCUGGACACCGCUGGUGGAGGAACCACACGUUUCAAAGCAAAGCUACAGUGGCAGCCAAUAAGGGGAGUGAACCGUCUUCUGAUCGCGGUCUUCACGUCGUCUCCACCGGGUCUGUUUCAGUCAGAGUUAUCCUUCUAGCUCCGAGGAUUCCCGUCUCAUAAAGUGUCCCGCUGGCGGCGAUGGUUGGGCGGCUGCUGAUGCGGAGAUGUCUUAUUGGGGGCGGAUGUGUGUGGAGCUCGGAGCCUGGCCGCUGGAAGCCCGAGUUUAGUCUCAGACUUCGGCUAAAAUGCGGGAUAUCGGAUGGAUCAUCUGAAGUGCCUUGAAUCAGCUGGUCCAACCCCCAAACAGGUGGAUCAGCUGUACCUUUCUGAAGCAGCUGCAGGUGCCCUGUGGGACAGCACUGGUGGAACUCCUAACUGCUCCUCCAUCUCUCCUCCUCCUCCCUCCAGAUGUUUGGUCUGCUUACAGAAGACGGUUUAUGCUGUUUGCAACAACGUGACCUCUGCACUGACCAUGGAGGGAGACGGCAAACAAAUCCGAAUCAAAGAGAGCGAGUGCCCCUUCUUCAUGAAACCAGGUGAGUUUCCCGGCAACAAAUCAGGCUAAAACAUAUUUGGAUCGUUUUUAUUUAUAUCUAAAGAUCAGAUGAUCGUGUUGACGCAGCUCCACAUGACAAACAUUCACCUGAACACAAAAAGCUCUGGAAAAAACAUCUUCACGUGUUUUCUGACAGACUCACCUCCACACCACCUCUCACCACCGCCUCUUUUAUGGCUGCUCAUCAUUCCCUUCUUCACCAUCAUCAUCGCUGCUGUGGUUUACUGGAAGGACAUCUAUGCAGGAUUGCAGAGAUGCAAAGAGAGAGCAACCUUCCAGAGAUGCAGAGCCAAUAAUCCAGAUGCCUCCUCAGAGAUGAAGCUGUGAACAUCACCUCUAGACUCCUGCUGCGCAUCAAAUAUUACUGCAAAUAUUUUUAAUAAAAUGUAAUAAAACAUUUUAAAAAUCACCCUA